rnacentral:rRNA from 1 species
GGGUCAGUAGGUUGCGCGUGCCACCGGUACGUACUGGUCUCACUGAUUCCUCCUUCCUGAAGAACCGUAAUGCCAUUAAUUUGGUGUUGCGGGGAAACAGGACUGUUACUUUGAAAAAAUUAGAGUGUUUAAAGCAAGCUAACGCUUGAAUACAUUAGCAUGGAAUAAUGAAAUAGGACGAUCGAUCCUAUUUUGUUGGUUUCUAGGAUUGACGUA